GAUGAACGCUGGCGGCGUGCUUAACACAUGCAAGUCGAACGGAAAGGCCCAAGCUUGCUUGGGUACUCGAGUGGCGAACGGGUGAGUAACACGUGGGUGAUCUGCCCUGCACUUCGGGAUAAGCCUUGGAAACUGGGUCUAAUACCGGAUAGGACCACUUCUUGGAUGUUGUGGUGGAAAGUUUUUUCGUUGUGGGAUGAGCUCGCGGCCUAUCAGCUUGUUGGUGGGGUAAUGGCCUACCAAGGCGUCGGCGGGUAGCCGGCCUGGGAGGGUGUACGGCCGCAUUGGGACUGAGAGACGGCCCAGGCGCCGACGGGAGGCAGAAGUGGGGAAGAUUGCACAAUGGGCGCAAGCCUGAUGCAGCGACGCCGCGGGGGGGAUGACGGCCUUCGGGUUGUAAACUCCUUUCGCUAGGGACGAAGCGUUUUGUGACGGUACCUGGAGAAGAAGCACCGGCUAACUACGUG
rnacentral:rRNA from 1 species